AGUGAACGCUGGCGGUAGGCCUAACACAUGCAAGUCGAACGGCAGCACAGUAAGAGCUUGCUCUUACGGGUGGCGAGUGGCGGACGGGUGAGGAAUACAUCGGAAUCUACUUUUUCGUGGGGGAUAACGUAGGGAAACUUACGCUAAUACCGCAUACGACCUACGGGUGAAAGCAGGGGAUCUUCGGACCUUGCGCGAUUGAAUGAGCCGAUGUCGGAUUAGCGAGUUGGCGGGGUAAAGGCCCACCAAGGCGACGAUCCGUAGCUGGUCUGAGAGGAUGAUCAGCCUCACUGGAACUGAGACACGGUCCAGACUCCUACGGGAGGCAGCAGUGGGGAAUAUUGGACAAUGGGCGCAAGCCUGAUCCAGCCAUACCGCGUGGGUGAAGAAGGCCUUCGGGUUGUAAAGCCCUUUUGUUGGGAAAGAAAAGCAGCAGGUUAAUACCCCGCUGUUCUGACGGUACCCAAAGAAUAAGCACCGGCUAACUUCGUG
rnacentral:rRNA from 1 species